GCGCGGUAUAAAUGCAGGCGGACUGGCGCCACGAGCGCGCCAACUAAGCCCUGGGGCGGGGUUGCGCGCGCAGGUGAGGGGCCGGAACCGGGCCACCUGCGAGUCGGAUCUAGGGGAGGCGGGUCCGCCCACCACCCACCUGCUUCCGCCUGACGUGAACCCGGAAGUUGCUACUUCAGCUCUCCCACCCAGGAUUCUUAGCAGUAUCUGUGGAGCGCUGGGAGGAAGGAAGCAGAGAUCUCAUCAGAUGUGUGGUGCCUUGGUGCUGUCACAGUCUACCCCGCACUCCUGCUUCAAAAGGUUGCAGACAAAAUCAAUAUGA
rnacentral:lncRNA from 1 species